GUGCUCGCUUUAGCAGCACAUGUACUAAAAUUGGAAUGAUACAGAGAAGAUUAGCAUGGCCCCUGCAUAAGCAUGACAUGCAAAUUCGUGAAACAUUCCAUAAUUUA
ensembl:snRNA U6 U6 spliceosomal RNA